rnacentral:tRNA from 1 species
ACCCCUGUAGCUCAGUGGAUAGAGCACCUCUCUCCUAAAGAGGUGGCGCAGGUUCGAUUCCUGCCAGGGGUA